UACGUAGGGUGCGAGCGUUAAUCGGAAUUACUGGGCGUAAAGUGUGCGCAGGCGGCCGCGCAAGUCGAGUGUGAAAGCCCCGGGCUUAACUUGGGAAUUGCGCUCGAAACUACGUGGCUGGAGUGUGGCAGAGGAAGGUGGAAUUCCACGUGUAGCGGUGAAAUGCGUAGAGAUGUGGAGGAACACCAAUGGCGAAGGCAGCCUUCUGGGCCAACACUGACGCUCAUGCACGAAAGCGUGGGGAGCAAAC
rnacentral:rRNA from 1 species